rnacentral:piRNA from 1 species
GAAUGGGUGUGUCUAAUGAAAGC